rnacentral:rRNA from 1 species
AGUGAACGCUGGCGGUAGGCCUAACGCAUGCAAGUCGAACGGCAGCACAGUAAGAGCUUGCUCUUACGGGUGGCGAGUGGCGGACGGGUAAGGAAUACAUCGGAAUCUACUUUUUCGUGGGGGAUAACGUAGGGAAACUUACGCUAAUACCGCAUACGACCUACGGGUGAAAGCAGGGGAUCUUCGGACCUUGCGCGAUUGAAUGAGCCGAUGUCGGAUUAGCUAGUUGGCGGGGUAAAGGCCCACCAAGGCGACGAUCCGUAGCUGGUCUGAGAGGAUGAUCAGCCACACUGGAACUGAGACACGGUCCAGACUCCUACGGGAGGCAGCAGUGGGGAAUAUUGGACAAUGGGCGCAAGCCUGAUCCAGCCAUACCGCGUGGGUGAAGAAGGUCUUCAGGUUGUAAAGCCCUUUUGUUGGGAAAGAAAAGCAGCAGGUUAAUACCCCGCUGUUCUGACGGUACCCAAAGAAUAAGCACCGGCUAACUUCGUG